rnacentral:rRNA from 1 species
AAUGGGCGCAAGCCUGAUGCAGCCAUGCCGCGUGUGUGAUGAAGGCCUUAGGGUUGUAAAACACUUCCAUCGGUGAAGAUAAUGACGGUAGCCGAAGAAGAAGCCCCGGCUAACUCCGUGCCAGCAGCCGCGGUAAUACGGAGGGGGCAAGCGUUGUUCGGAAUUACUGGGCGUAAAGCGCACGUAGGCGGACUGAUCAGUUGGGGGUGAAAUCCCGAGGCUUAACCUCGGAACUGCCUUCAAUACUGUCAGUCUUGAGAUCGGAAGAGGUGAGUGGAAUUCCUAGUGUAGAGGUGAAAUUCGUAGAUAUUAGGAAGAACACCAGUGGCGAAGGCGGCUCACUGGUCCGAUACUGACGCUGAGGUGCGAAAGCGUGGGGAGCGAACAGGAUU